rnacentral:rRNA from 1 species
UACGUAGGGUGCAAGCGUUGUCCGGAAUUAUUGGGCGUAAAGAGCGUGUAGGCGGCCCGAUUAGUCCGCUGUGAAAGUCCAGGGCUCAACCCUGGAAUGCCGGUGGAUACUGUCGGGCUAGAGUCCGGAAGGGGCGAGUGGAAUUCCUGGUGUAGCGGUGAAAUGCGCAGAUAUCAGGAGGAACACCAAUGGCGAAGGCAGCUCGCUGGGACGUGACUGACGCUGAGACGCGAAAGCGUGGGGAGCAAACAUG